GACGAACGCUGGCGGCGUGCUUAACACAUGCAAGUCGAACGGAAAGGCCCUGCUUUUGUGGGGUGCUCGAGUGGUGAACGGGUGAGUAACACGUGAGUAACCUGCCCUUGACUUUGGGAUAACUUCCGGAAACUGGGGCUAAUACCGGAUAGGAGCUCCUGCUGCAUGGUGGGGGUUGGAAAGUUUCGGCGGUUGGGGAUGGACUCGCGGCUUAUCAGCUUGUUGGUGGGGUAGUGGCUUACCAAGGCUUUGACGGGUAGCCGGCCUGAGAGGGUGACCGGCCACAUUGGGACUGAGAUACGGCCCAGACUCCUACGGGAGGCAGCAGUGGGGAAUAUUGCACAAUGGGCGGAAGCCUGAUGCAGCAACGCCGCGUGCGGGAUGACGGCCUUCGGGUUGUAAACCGCUUUCGCCUGUGACGAAGCGUGAGUGACGGUAAUGGGUAAAGAAGCACCGGCUAACUACGUG
rnacentral:rRNA from 1 species